rnacentral:rRNA from 1 species
UACAGAGGGGGCAAGCGUUGUUCGGAAUCACUGGGCGUAAAGGGCGCGUAGGCGGCGCGGGAAGUCAUCGGUGAAAGUUCAGGGCUCAACUCUGAAUCGGCCGGUGAUACUCUCGUGCUUGAGCACUGUAGAGGCAGGUGGAAUUCCGGGUGUAGCGGUGGAAUGCGUAGAGAUCCGGAAGAACACCGGUGGCGAAGGCGGCCUGCUGGGCAGUAGCUGACGCUGAUGCGCGACAGCGUGGGGAGCAAACAGG